rnacentral:rRNA from 1 species
CGGCGUGCUUAACACAUGCAAGUCGAACGAACCUUCGGGUUAGUGGCGGACGGGUGAGUAACGCGUGAGAAUCUGCCCUCAGGAGGGGGACAACAGCUGGAAACGGCUGCUAAUACCCCAUAUGCCGCGAGGUGAAAUGAAUUUCGCCUGAGGAUGAGCUCGCGUCUGAUUAGCUAGUUGGUGUAGGUAAUGGCUCACCAAGGCAUCGAUCAGUAGCUGGUCUGAGAGGAUGAUCAGCCACACUGGGACUGAGACACGGCCCAGACUCCUACGGGAGGCAGCAGUGGGGAAUUUUCCGCAAUGGGCGAAAGCCUGACGGAGCAACGCCGCGUGAGGGAUGAAAGCCUCUGGGCUGUAAACCUCUUUUAUCAAGGAAGAAGAUCUGACGGUACUUG